UAGCACCUGCGGUAUUCGUGAUAUUAUUUAAUUUCAGAACCACUUAGAAUUAGGAAGUCAAGCCAUUUGCAGCGCAAAAGCCGGACAUGAUCCGGAUCUGUAAAGCAGACAAGGUAGGCGUCCACCUUGAAUCUUGGUUCAAGAAAACGAUAAUACACGGUACCGCGGGUUAAUA
rnacentral:other from 1 species